rnacentral:rRNA from 1 species
UACAGAGGGUGCAAGCGUUGUUCGGAAUUACUGGGCGUAAAGGGCGCGUAGGCGGCAGGCCAAGUCGGGAGUGAAAGCCCGGGGCUCAACCCCGGAAUGUCUUUCGAAACUGGCCAGCUGGAGUGCGGAAGAGGCAACUGGAAUUCCCAGUGUAGCGGUGAAAUGCGUAGAUAUUGGGAAGAACACCUGAGGCGAAGGCGGGUUGCUGGGCCGACACUGACGCUGAGGCGCGAAAGCCAGGGGAGCAAACGGG